rnacentral:rRNA from 1 species
CCCUUAGAUGUUCUGGGCCGCACGCGCGCUACACUGACGAAAGCAACGAGCUUAUAACCUUGGCCGAAAGGUCUGGGUAAUCUCCAAACUUCGUCGUGAUGGGGAUAGAUUAUUGCAAUUAUUAAUCUUCAACGAGGAAUGCCUAGUAAGCGCAAGUCAUCAGCUUGCGUUGAUUACGUCCCUGCCCUUUGUACACACCGCCCGUCGCUCCUACCGAUUGAAUGGUCCGGUGAAGCGUUCGGACCGUGGCUUUCUGACGGUCCGCCGUCGGAUUGCCGUGGGAAGUUCGUUAAACCUUAUCAUUUAGAGGAAGGAGAAGUCGUAACA